CUUUGUACCACCAAGUCGUGAUCAGAGCCAUUCCCUUCAAAUGAAGCUGAUCGCUUCAUCGACGUUCGUGAUUGCACCUGCAUUUGUUUAUGGCUGUUGCUGGUUUGCUUAUGUGUAUUAUAAAAUAUUAAUUAGUCCUUUGUUCAAAUCUGCUGGUGCUGGACCUGGACCUGCUUCUGUGUUUUCCUUCCUUAAAACGUUUUUUUUUUUUUUUUGAAGAGAGGUCGAUGAUGAUGACGGAUGGGCCCAUGGCUAAGUAGGUGGGCGCUGUCACUUUGUACAUUUGUAUGGCUGUGGAUUUGUGCAAUGUCAUCUUGGUAAUAAUAUGGACAAAACUAGUUCUAUUACUUUUAUUAUGUGAUCUUUUUACAUUGGUCAUCUAAAUUAUUUCUUUCUAGGAUUUACCUAUACGUAUGUUAUAUAUGUGUAUAAUUGUGAUUGAUGGAUCGGUACCUGCCGUUGCUUUCAUGCAUCAGCACCAUCCUCUUGUUCGCGUAGCGUGGGCCUUGCGAAAGAAGAUAGAGCUUCUAUUACUGACUCUUUUUUUUUUUGUUUGGGGGCUUAAUUUAAUAUUAAUUAGUUAAAUAAAUAACAUAAAAGUAUCCAAGCAUAUCCCAACGGCGAUUGGAGAACUUAUGUGUCCAGAGAUUUCCAAUAUGAUCCGGGUUUAUAAAUCAUACCAUGAAAUUGAUAAAUUAAGUUACGCGCAGACUAGAAAUAUCUUGCUCUUAUCUAAUUUCUAGAGCGCUCUUCACUCAUGC
rnacentral:lncRNA from 1 species